GAUGAACGCUGGCGGCAUGCCUAACACAUGCAAGUCGAUCGGUAAGGCUCUUCGGAGUACACGAGAGGCGGACGGCUGAGUAACGCGUAGGAACACACCCUGCAGUGAGGGAUAAGACACCGAAAGGUGUUCUAAUACCGCAUACGGUCUUCGGAUUAAAGCAUUUAUGCGCUGAAGGAGUGGCCUGCGUCAUAUUAGAUAGUUGGUGAGGUAAUGGCUCACCAAGUCGAUGAUGUGUAGCUGGUCUGAGAGGAUGAUCAGCCAGACUGGAACUGAGACACGGUCCAGACUCCUACGGGAGGCAGCAGUGAGGAAUAUUGCACAAUGAGCGAAAGCUUGAUGGAGCAAUGCCGCGUGCAGGAUGAAGGCCCUCGGGUUGUAAACUGCUUUUAUAAGAGAAGAUUAUGACGGUAACUGAUGAAUAAGGGACGGCUAACUACGUG
rnacentral:rRNA from 1 species